UGGCGCCGCGAGCUGUGUCGCCGCCCCUCCUUCCUGUCCUGCGACGGCUGGCUCUACAAACGCAUUCCGUGACAGGCGACUCAGCCAGGAGUCUUAUAGGUGACAACAAAUGUGAUCAGAAGCCAUGCCACUGUUGAAGACUUAUAUCAAACCUGUCAUGCUCCAAUGAGGUUACUAGAGAAUUAGGAGAGGCUCAAAUCAGCAUCUUGCACAUGGCUGUCAAACCAUUCUGAAGUCUUGUCUUGCAGACAGGGGAAUUGGAUAUCUUCCCUGAGAUUAUGGCUGUUUGGCGUAGAAAAUGGAUUGGAAUCUAAACCAGUACUGUGCUUCCUCUAGACUCCACGUGAGACAGAAAGGCUUUUAUUCCACACGGAAAGACCUUUAUAACAGCCUCUGAAAUUGUGCUCCCCUGAUGAAGGCAAUUUCCAUGUUGUAAAAUUUUAUUAUGUAUAAAAUCACCUAGGAUGCUUGUUAAAAAUGCAGAUUCUUAGGCAGCCAGAGACUUGUCAUUGGUCAAGAGCAAUACUAAAACCUACCUGUCACUUACAGUGAGGCUUUCUGCUCAGUGAGUCACCAGCAAGCCAGAAUGAAUCACCAUCGCCAUGGAUGUCCUUGUAAGGCAGUUGGGGAGCCUUGUUUUCUAGUUCACAGAAAGCACAUAGCUGAGGAUCAUCUGAGAGUCAUGAAGACUUGGAUAUGUGGGACUUUCAUCCAUUUCCCUUGUGAGUCGUAGAACAGGUCUAGCUGCAAGAGAGUAUUAAAAUUAAC